GCUUACGGCCAUAUCAGCCUGGGUACGCCCGAUCUCGUCUGAUCUCGGAAGCUAAGCAGGGUCGGGCCUAGUUAGUACUUGGAUGGGAGACCGCCUGGGAAUACCAGGUGCUGUAAGCA
rnacentral:rRNA from 1 species